AAGGGCUGGGUAAGACGGGUGCCAGCCGCCGCGGUAAUACCUGCAGCUCAAGUGGGUGAUCAUUAUUAUUGGGCCUAAAACGUCCGUAGCCGGUUUAGUAAAUGCCUGGGUAAAUCGUGUAGCUUAACUAUACGACUUCCGGGUAGACUACUAAACUUGAGACCCGGGAGAGGCUAGAGGUACUCCUGGGGUAGAGGUGAAAUUCUGUAAUCCUAGGGGGACCACCAGUGGCGAAGGCGUCUAACUAGAACGGGUCUGACGGUGAGGGACGAAGCCCUGGGGCACAAACCGGAUUAGAUACCCGGGUAGUCCAGGGUGUAAACGCUGCUUGCAUGAUGUUAGUUGGGCUCCGAGCCCAACUAGUGUCGGAGAGAAGUUGUUAAGCAAGCUGCCUGGGAAGUACGGUCGCAAGGCUGAAACUUAAAGGAAUUGGCGGGGGAGCACAGCAACGGGUGGAGCGUGCGGUUUAAUUGGAUUCAACGCCGGAAAACUCACCGGAGGCGACGGUUACAUGAAGGCCAGGCUGAUGACCUUGCCUGAUUUUCCGAGAAGGUGGUGCAUGGCCGCCGUCAGUUCGUACCGUAAGGCGUUCUUGUUAAGUCAGACAACGAACGAGACCCUCAUCUUUAAUUGCUACUGGUAAGUUCGCUUUACUGGGCACAUUAGAGAAACCGCUGGCGAUAAGUCAGAGGAAGGCGAGGGCAACGGUAGGUCAGUAUGCCCUGAAUCCUCCGGGCUACACGCGCGCUACAAAGGCUAGGACAAUGAGCUUCAACACCGAGAGGUGAAGGUAAUCUCGAAACCUAGUCGUAGUUCGGAUUGAGGGUUGAAACUCACCCUCAUGAAGCUGGAAUCCGUAGUAAUCGCGGAUCAACAUCCCGCGGUGAAUAUGCCCCUGCUUCUUGCACACACCGCCCGUCAAACCAUGCGAGUUGGGUUUGAGUGAGGAUGUAGUUUU
rnacentral:rRNA from 1 species